rnacentral:rRNA from 1 species
ACUCCUACGGGAGGCAGCAGUGGGGAAUUUUUCGCGAUGGGGGCAACCCUGACGAAGCAAUGCCGCGUGGAUGAUGAAGUAUCUCGGUACGUAAAAUCCUUUCGACGGGGAAGAAACCACAAGGUUGACGGUACCCGUAGAAGAAGCGCCGGCCAACGACGUGCCAGCAGCCGCGGUAACACGUAGGGGACGAGCGUUGUCCGGAAUUAUUGGGCGUAAAGAGCGUGUAGGCGGUUCGGUAAGUCUGCCGUGAAAACCCAGGGCUCAACCCUGGGCGUGCGGUGGAUACUGCCGGGCUAGAGGGUGGUAGAGGCGAGUGGAAUUCCCGGUGUAGCGGUGAAAUGCGUAGAGAUC